UGGGGUAGAGCUCAGGGGCAGAGCACAUGCUCGGCAUGCGCUAGGUCCUGGGUUCAAUCCCCAGUACCUCCA
rnacentral:tRNA from 1 species